GAUGAACGCUGGCGGCGUGCCUAAUACAUGCAAGUCGAGCGAACAGACGAGGAGCUUGCUCCUCUGACGUUAGCGGCGGACGGGUGAGUAACACGUGGAUAACCUACCUAUAAGACUGGGAUAACUUCGGGAAACCGGAGCUAAUACCGGAUAAUAUAUUGAACCGCAUGGUUCAAUAGUGAAAGACGGUUUUGCUGUCACUUAUAGAUGGAUCCGCGCCGCAUUAUCUAGUUGGUAAGGUAACGGCUUACCAAGGCAACGAUGCGUACCCGACCUGUGAGGGGGAAGGCCCCACGUGAAAGUGAGCACCGGCCACGCUCCUAAGGGGGGGCACAGGUGGGAACUCUCCGCAAUAGGGCGAAAUCUUGCGGGAGCACCGGCGGGGGGGUGAAGAAGGUCUGCGGGUCGUAAAACUCUUUUAUUGGGAAAAAAAAAAUGGGAAAGUAACUAAGCAGGUUUGAAGGGAACCAAUAAAGAAACCCCCGCCAACUACCGG
rnacentral:rRNA from 1 species